rnacentral:rRNA from 1 species
UUAAAUUGAAGAGUUUGAUCAUGGCUCAGAUUGAACGCUGGCGGCAGGCCUAACACAUGCAAGUCGAACGGUAACAGAAAGCAGCUUGCUGCUUUGCUGACGAGUGGCGGACGGGUGAGUAAUGUCUGGGAAACUGCCUGAUGGAGGGGGAUAACU